rnacentral:lncRNA from 10 species
CCUCCCUCUCUCCCCCACCCUCUCUCUUCUCUCUCUCCCUCCAAGUCUGGCACUGAACGCGAACUGUUUUGCUUUGCUCCGGGAAGAGUGCAGACACAUAACGUGAAAUCCCGAGCUUUUUGCGUGGUGCAUUUAAAAUGCUUCCUUAUUUAUAUUACCCUCAUUCCCUCACCACCCCCCACCCCCUCACCAGUCCUUCCAAAUUUCCCUAGAAAUCUAUGUAAAGCAUGCGGAGGGGAAAACAUUUGCACAAAAAGUGAAGGAGCUCGCCAAGGAGUUCCCGUUUGGGUGGUCAGACCUGUCCUGACACCCAGAGGUCUGCAUGAGGGAAGGCCACUGAAGGAGGAGUUCUGAAAGGCCACAGGUGAUGAAGAGCUUGGAUGAAUGAACUUACAAGUCCCAGGAACUUGGUUUUCUUAAAGGAAGUUUGGGGGAGAGCUUGGCAGCACUGAUGGUUUCAGCAAAUGAAGGAUCUAUUUGCAUCUAGUGUUGAACCUAGUAAGCAGUUUAUGUUAAUCCCUUACUCUUUAAGAUUAAUAUAUCUUGGUGUUUUAAAUAAUUACUUUUAACUAAGUUUAUGCCUAAUGCUUUCUUUUAAAUAACAGUGUGUCUCAAUAGGAACUAAUGAG